rnacentral:lncRNA from 1 species
AUUCGGAUGAAAGGAAUGCUACGGCGUAAAGGCAGGCAUGGCAAACAUCACCCAGGAACUAGUGCUGCGAGUUAAUGUGAAAAAACCAGGUCCCUGGCAGUUACAGUGCUGAAGACUAACGACAGGUACCGGCAAGCAGAAAUAGGCUUAAUUUCCUGAGGAAACAGUUUCCUUUUCUGAUGCAAUGAAGGUUGGAAAUUAUAUACAGCUUGUACAAAUGACUGCCUCAUGACAUUUCUCUUUUCCUUUUUAACCUUAGAAUCUCAGCAUUAAGGUUUCAGUUAAGGGUGGAAUGCCUGCCUACCAUUCAGGAGGGAUUGAGCCUAAGGCCUGCAAAUCAAUGAAUAAGUAAAUACCUAAGAGUUGUAAAUACCAUAGAGAGACCAUCAUGUCCUCCCUCCCAGUGCACAAAACAAUCCCUAUAGCCUUGCUGACUCUCUUCAUGGAUCUGUGCUUGAAAUCUUCCAGAAUGGCAAGAGCACAGGGUUUUACAGCUCAGUCCAGCGCGUUUGUUGGCCUGCUCUGCUAGCUAAGGAGUGUUUGCUUGUGUAGGACUCAAGUCUGCCUUCUUGUGCUGCUGCAGCCUCCGGAUCUGUCCUGAGAACCGUUCUCCUGUGGGGCAACCUCACAUACUUAAAGGUUCAUCGUGGUUUUUGGUACAAGCUAGCCAUCUACACUCAAAAUAUCUUUCUGAUGGCAUUUCUUCCCAGCCACCCAUCAGUUCGGUUGCCUUUAACUGAAGGAAUUCUAGCUUUCCAAAGUCCUUUUAAAAUCCAGAGUUGAGCAUAAUCUCCCAAGAGUGAGUCAGCCUGGCCAAUCGUGUGGCUCUUAUCUCUCUCUUCAUCUGGACACUGAACUAUAGUGACUCUGUCAUCUGUGUUUUAUUGUCAACAUCUCACUGUUGGCUUGUGCUUGGAAACCUCUAGAAGAGUGGUUCUCGGUCGAGGGCACUUCUCCCCCUAGGGAAGAUGAACCCUUUCGUUUAACAGUUUGAUUGUCACAAUGGGAGGUGCUAACUGGAAUCCCUAGGUAGGGGCUAAAGACAUUUUCUAGUACCCAGGACGGCCUCUGACAAAUACUUACCCCAGAUGUCCGCAGAGCUUGGAUAGAGAGCCCUGUUCUGCAUUAUCAUGGGCACAGCUGUCACAUUAUGUGCUGGUGCCGGUAGACAGGCUUAUUGUAAGCCUUUGGAGUGUCUCUAUACUGACCUUCUCUUGUUGGCUUCAGCGGGUGUGUAAGCUUGUAGGGGUCCAUCUGCCUUCAAGUCACUGUUGUUGCUGUUCUUUUUGAGAUGUUUCAUGUAUCCCAAGCUGGCUUCCAAUUUGCUGUGUGGUUAAGGUUGACCUUGAACUCCAGAUCUCCUGCCUUCCCCUUUCCAGUGCCAGGAUUACAGGCAUGAACUGGCCUCACAAACGUGCCGAGCAAGGUGCUGUAGGUGAUGGCGAUUUGCAGGAUAAAGAUAGAAGGCUGUAGUGUGAACGUUAAAGUGGUAGACACACAGGGUGCCGGCACUGUAUUUGGGAGCUGUGUGGUCAGGCAAGCCUUCAAGGUGGUCGUAAAGAUGUGUUCAGUUUGAAGAAAAGCGGGGCAUGGAAAUUUCUCAGAGAUGGAGACAACAUGAACAGAGAAAGGAAGGUAGAAAGCAGAGGUCCCCUCAGGGAGCAGCCAGCUGUCCCCCCUAAAACAGAGUUACUACAUAUAUCUUGUCUUCUGGUUUGAAACAGUCUUGCUAUGCAGAGCCAUUUUUUAAAGUGUCUAGCCUGCUCCCCUCUUGUCCUUACAGACUGUGGUCUCUGUUGCAUCCAGUCAACUCUCCCAUUAUAACCCAGGUUCAGUCAUAGACAGAGCAUAAGUGGGGUGGGGGUGGAGCUCAGUCAGGAUAUCACGCCAUAAAGUCCUGGGUCCCGUUCUUAACACCACCGU